UACGUAGGUCCCGAGCGUUGUCCGGAUUUAUUGGGCGUAAAGCGAGCGCAGGUGGUUUAUUAAGUCUGGUGUAAGAGGCAGUGGCUCAACCAUUGUAUGCAUUGGAAACUGGUAGACUUGAGUGCAGGAGAGGAGAGUGGAAUUCCAUGUGUAGCGGUGAAAUGCGUAGAUAUAUGGAGGAACACCGGUGUCGAAAGCGGCUCUCUGGCCUGUAACUGACACUGAGGCUCGAAAGCGUGGGGAGCAAACAGG
rnacentral:rRNA from 1 species